AUUGAACGCUGGCGGCAUGCCUUACACAUGCAAGUCGAACGGCAGCACGGGAGCUUGCUCCUGGUGGCGAGUGGCGAACGGGUGAGUAAUGCAUCGGAACGUACCCGGAAGUGGGGGAUAACGUAGCGAAAGUUACGCUAAUACCGCAUAUUCUGUGAGCAGGAAAGAGGGGGAUCGCAAGACCUCUCGCUUUCGGAGCGGCCGAUGUCGGAUUAGCUAGUUGGUGGGGUAAAGGCCUACCAAGGCGACGAUCCGUAGCGGGUCUGAGAGGAUGAUCCGCCACACUGGAACUGAGACACGGUCCAGACUCCUACGGGAGGCAGCAGUGGGGAAUUUUGGACAAUGGGCGAAAGCCUGAUCCAGCCAUGCCGCGUGAGUGAAGAAGGCCUUCGGGUUGUAAAGCUCUUUCGGCUGAAAAGAAAUCGCACAGGCUAAUACCCUGUGUGGAUGACGGUAUCAGCAUAAGAAGCACCGGCUAACUACGUGCCAGCAGCCGCCGCCG
rnacentral:rRNA from 1 species